rnacentral:rRNA from 1 species
CAGCAGCCGCGGGAAUACGAAGGGUGCAAGCGUUACUCGGAAUUACUGGGCGUAAAGCGUGCGUAGGUGGUGGUUUAAGUCCGUUGUGAAAGCCCUGGGCUCAACCUGGGAAUUGCAGUGGAUACUGGGUCACUAGAGUGUGGUAGAGGAUAGUGGGAUUUCCGGUGUAGCAGUGAAAUGCGUAGAGAUCGGAAGGAACAUCUGUGGCGAAGGCGACUAUCUGGGCCAACACUGACACUGAGGCACGAAAGCGUGGGGUGCAAACAGGAUUAGAGACCCCUGUAGUCCCUGUCUCUUAUAC